UACGGAAGGGGCAAGCGUUGUUCGGAAUCAUUGGGCGUAAAGGGCGCGUAGGUGGUUCUGUAUGUCUACCGUGAAAGCGUACGGCUCAACCGUAUUUUGUCGGUAGAAACUGCAGGACUUGAGGCUGGGAGGGGCUGGUGGAAUUCCUGGUGUAGCGGUGAAAUGCGUAGAUAUCAGGAGGAACACCCGUGGCGAAGGCGGCUCUCUAUCUCGAUUCUGACGCUGAGGCGCGAAAGCUAGGGGAGCAAACGGG
rnacentral:rRNA from 1 species